AUUGAACGCUGGCGGCAUGCUUUACACAUGCCAGUCGAACGGCAGCACGAAAGAGCUUGCUCUUUUGGUGGCGAGUGGCGAACGGGUGAGUAAUGCAUCGGAACGUACCGAGUAAUGGGGGAUAACUGUCCGAAAGGAUAGCUAAUACCGCAUACGCUUUGAGAAGGAAAGUGGGGGCUCUUCGGACCUCACGUUAUUCGAGCGGCCGAUGUCUGAUUAGCUAGUUGGUGGGGUAAAGGCCUACCAAGGCGACGAUCGGUAGCGGGUCUGAGAGGAUGAUCCGCCACACUGGGACUGAGACACGGCCCAGACUCCUACGGGAGGCAGCAGUGGGGAAUUUUGGACAAUGGGCGCAAGCCUGAUCCAGCCGUGCCGCGUGUCUGAAGAAGGCCUUCGGGUUGUAAAGGACUUUUGUUAGGGAAGAAAAGGAUAGUGUUAAUACCAUUAUCUGCUGACGGUACCUAAAGAAUAAGCACCGGCUAACUACGUG
rnacentral:rRNA from 1 species